rnacentral:rRNA from 1 species
UUCCACGCCCUAAACUAUGCAGACUAGCUAUUGGGAGCAUCGACCCUUCCAGUGGCGUAGCUAACGCGUUAAGUCUGUCGCCUGGGAAGUACGGCCGCAAGGCUAAAACUCAAAGAAAUAGGCGGGAAUUCGCACAAGCGGUGGAUCAUGUGGUUCAAUUCUACACUGAGCGAAAAACCUCACCAGGGCUUGAAAUCCAGCUGCACGCUCUAGAAAUAGAGAAGCCUUCGAGGGUGCUGGACAGGUGCUGCACGGCUAUCGU